UACGUAGGGUGCAAGCGUUGUCCGGAAUUAUUGGGCGUAAAGAGCUCGUAGGCGGUCUGUCACGUCGGCUGUGAAAUCCCGAGGCUCAACCUCGGGUCUGCAGUCGAUACGGGCAAACUAGAGUAUUGCAGGGGAGACUGGAAUUCCUGGUGUAGCGGUGAAAUGCGCAGAUAUCAGGAGGAACACCGGUGGCGAAGGCGGGUCUCUGGGCAAUAACCACGCUGAGGAGCGAAAGCGUGGGGAGCGAACAGG
rnacentral:rRNA from 1 species